UCGUGGAUUGAUUUGUCUGGUUAAUUCCGAUAACGAACGAGACCUUAACCUACUAGUUGGCUGCGCUUGGGAAAUUCCCAGGUUUUUUGCGGCCUCUUAGCGGGACAGCUAGCGUUUAGCUAGAGGAAGUUUGAGGCAAUAACA
rnacentral:rRNA from 1 species